AUUUGAAAUACACGUUCUUUAUUUCUCUCUUAACAUAAUACUGAAGACAACGCGGACGAGGUUACGGACAAAAACUGGUAACGCAUAGUUUAUAGGUUGCAAUUUUGGUCAAAGUCCCUUCUACGUUAAGAAGUUUAAAAGGAGAUGUAGUUGAGACAUGAUUGUAUGGACUACAUUUUAAUUGCUUCUGCUGUCGCACUUG